rnacentral:rRNA from 1 species
AUUGAACGCUGGCGGCAGGCCUAACACAUGCAAGUCGAGCGGAUGAGUGGAGCUUGCUCCAUGAUUCAGCGGCGGACGGGUGAGUAAUGCCUAGGAAUCUGCCUGAUAGUGGGGGACAACGUUUCGAAAGGAACGCUAAUACCGCAUACGUCCUACGGGAGAAAGCAGGGGACCUUCGGGCCUUGCGCUAUCAGAUGAGCCUAGGUCGGAUUAGCUAGUUGGUGAGGUAACGGCUCACCAAGGCGACGAUCCGUAACUGGUCUGAGAGGAUGAUCAGUCACACUGGAACUGAGACACGGUCCAGACUCCUACGGGAGGCAGCAGUGGGGAAUAUUGGACAAUGGGCGAAAGCCUGAUCCAGCCAUGCCGCGUGUGUGAAGAAGGUCUUCGGAUUGUAAAGCACUUUAAGUUGGGAGGAAGGGCAUUAACCUAAUACGUUAGUGUUUUGACGUUACCGACAGAAUAAACACCGGCUAACUUCGUGCCAGCCGCCGCUGUAAGAC